rnacentral:rRNA from 1 species
CCUACGGGCGGCAGCAGUGGGGAAUAUUGCACAAUGGGCGAAAGCCUGAUGCAGCAACGCCGCGUGAAGGAAGACGGUUUUCGGAUUGUAAACUUCUAUCAAUAGGGAAGAAAGAAAUGACGGUACCUAAAUAAGAAGCCCAGGCUAACUACUUGCCAGCAGCCGCGGUAAUACGUAGGGGGCAAGCGUUAUCCGGAAUUACUGGGUGCAAAGGGAGAGUAGGCGGCAAGGUAAGCGAUAUGUGAAAGCCUUAAGCUUAACUUAAGGAUUGCAUAACGAACUAUCUAGCUAGAGUAAAGGAGAGGAAAGCGGAAUUCCAAGGGUAGCGGUGAAAUGCGUAGAUAUUAGGAAGAACACCAGUGGCGAAGGCGGCUUUCUGGACUGAAACUGACGCUGAGGCUCGAAAGCGUGGGGAGCGAACAGGAUUAGAUACCCCGGUAGUC